UACUUUAGUUUUGAGUUGUACAAGUUUUCCUUGUUUGUACGCUACUUUAUAUGUAACCGACUGGUGGUUGCGAUCAGGUUUUACGAACCAGUGCCAACUGAAAGCGGCGAAAUGCUUCGUGAGCGAUGGAGAAGCGGGGUGACUUCAUGACCAGGAUUCGCUGACCAAGUGCAGCCUUUUACCGCCGUCACGAUGGCAACGGCUUUCGGUGAGGUCAACGAGACUCCGCUGAUGUUUUCGCGGAGUAGCUCGCUCGGAUCUCUCAGCAGUUUGGAUCGACAAGCUGCACUCAAUGCCCACAACCUCGCUGUAAAUCAAAGCCAACAUACAAGUGGAGCUGUCUCUCCCAGUGACCUACCUGACUCUCCAAGUCAAACAAUGCCACCAAGCCCUCGCCAUAGAUCUCCUGAACCUGCUUUCCGGCUUCCCCCGUGCAGAAAACCGAUCCCACAGCCAAUUGGUGGUGUGUUCCAAGACUGCCCGCGAAGUUUUGCAGAAGAAGGAACUCCUUGCCGCAUGUCACAGGCCACCAGCCUUAGUUCUCUCACUCAAGAUGACGAUGCCAAUAACAUUGAAAAAAUGCUCCAACACGACGAUGAGCACGAAGCAUUUCAAGAGAGCAGCUUUGAAGAAGAGCGUGAAGAACAGGCGCAGUUUGUGGAUGACACAUACUACAAGCGGAAGCACCUGCAAGGUCGCUCUCAUCUGCCAUCUCGCAGUGUUACCAACAUUGGUGAAGGUGCAGUCGAAGUGUUUGCAGACACAACACGGCAGUAUGCCCAUGAAGGCACACCACGCGGCUACUCCAGACCCGAGAGUCCCUGUUCAUUAACUAACGAGAACAACGUCAGUUCGCAAAAUGUCGUCCCUGAUUGGGAUGAUGACUACGAAAUGACGCCUCAUCAAAAAAAGCAGCCUGUGCCUUUUGAUAGUAGUCACAGCCGUAGAUGGAGCGGUGAACGAGUCCAGAAAUCUCAUGUCACACACAAGCAUGUCUCAUUCAAUGACGACUGUGUCAUGCGCCCGUCGCAUGAAGACGCUGCUGUGCCUUACUUUGCCGAGGAUUGUGUUCGUGUGUAUUGCACGGAAGGUACGCCAUCUGUUCUUUCCCACGCACCUUCCCUCAAUGACCUGGGCAGUGCUAAAUCCUGGCCUAAUCCGCAGAGUGCAGUUGACGACAUGCUUGAAGUCUCGCCUGAUGGUUGUUGUAGGCCUUCAUCCCAAAGCAACCAGGCAAGUCCCAAGCCACAGGGAUGCCAUGAACAUGCAUCACUGAAUGAUGACUGUCAUCUCCAGUCCCCACAUGAAACGGAGUCACCAUCUUUUGAAGAAGAUUGUCUUCGUGUGUACUGCACAGAGGACACGCCGUCAUUACUUUCCCAUUCUGCAUCAUUCACUGACCUCAGUAUAGGUCACGACGAUAGUAAGAAUUGGGAAUCAGCUGAGCACUCUCCGAAGCCGCCUUGUAUCAAAUCAGAAGCCCUUAUCGAUGUUUCUGAUGAGGAGGAAGGGAGCGCUGAUCUCAUAGUGCAGUGUAUUCAGCUGGGCUGGCAAGUCUCACAAUCAUCAAAUUGUCAUUCAAAGACUAAAAGCUGGAGCGGAGCUCCAGAGGACAGUAUUACUAUAAAUGCACCAGUGCCAAAACCAAGGAGUAUAAACAGUACACCAGGGAAAGCUGCAUCUGCUGCCAAUAAAAGCAGCUCAUCGUCACCUUUGCCAUCUAGUCAUGUAACCUGUCAAAGUAAAUUACAGCAUACCGUUGAGGAUAGUGCCUUGCCAAAGGAAAUGCCAUCACACAAAUUCAGCUUGGUACUUGCCAGGCAGAGCUCAAGUGUGAGCAGUCUUGUUGAAAGAACCUCCCCAAAGCUCACUUGGAAGAGCAAUAGCAUUGGGAAUGUAGGUGAACUAAACAAUCACCUCGGAGGCUGUUCUGUUGCUCUGCAGAGCCAUUCGGAUGUCAGCCAGCCCUCGUGUACACAAAACUUCAGUUCGAACCCUUGUGCAAACCGGAGCAAUAGCAUGCAUGGCAGCUUGGAUCAAACAGAACCGCUAUGUCAAGAUAGCAGUGAUGAAGAAGAUGAUGCCCGUUUGUUGCAGGAAGUUGUGAUGAUGGGAAGGGCGCUAGCUGGAAACCCUGAAUUAUCUGUAGGCAUGGCAUCUCCAAGCACACAAUCACCCAAGGUGCCUCCUCAGUCGGAUAUGCAGUCCUCGCCUUCAAGCACGCCUUUUGUUUCAGUGGCAAGCCCUUUGAGACCACAUCAGUAUGCUCAAGACACCAGGCAUGGUGUUGCUUUGAAUAUAGUGAGCGUUAAAGAUAACACAGUGAAAGUUCCACAUGUGUCCCCUAGUCAUGUUUGUUCCAAAUCUGGAGGUAGCAAUUUUCUGGAUGACAGUAUGCACCUGUCUGAAAGUAGUGAUGAAGAGCAGGACAGCAAGAUCUUGCUUGAAGUGAUCAGUCUUGGCCGUGCAGCUGUGAGCAAACAGCAACAUUCUGGAGGCAAGAACAUGAACCCCAACACUAAGUGCCUCCGGAAAAAUGUGUCUGAUAUUCAGCAUGAAAGUUCUUCGGCACGUGUGGGAGAUGGCCCCAGCGUGAUGAUGCGGCCUGCCGUCAGUGACCCACCACCUCCCAAUCACUAUCCCACAUCUCCUCGUGCUGUGCCAGAUGUUAAUGACUGUUUAAUCGAUGACGACGAUGAUGGCAAGUUACUAAAAGAGGUGAUCAUGCUUGGCCUUUCAAGUGUGCAAAGCAUUGCUUUAAACUUACCACCACCACACACUGGCAAACAGCCAACAACGGUGCCUGAGAAGGAGGACGCCAGCCAUUGCAACACCACGUGCUGACAGUGACAAGCAAACUAGUGCUCUUAAAGACAGCCCUCUUGAACCCAUAAAAGGAGCUGUUUGCGACAGUGCGCAUAAAGAUACUCACGACGUGGAAAGAGAACAGAAAGAAAAGCUCGCUGUUCCUCCCGAGCCUCCAGCCGACUCCUCGGAUCGUGUUGUCCAGAUUCGUCUAAAGUUGCCAAAUGGUCGAUCGCUGACUCGACGCUUCCUCGCAUCAGCAGAGCUUGGUGUACUGCUGGUCUUUCUGGACUCUCUAGGCUAUCCACUCACCAGGUUCAAGAUACUCAAGAAUUGGCGCAGGCAAGAGCUUGCAACCGUAAACCCAAAACAGACUCUGGAACAACUCAAACUUUACCCGAAGAAGACUCUGACAAUAAAGGAGCGAUAGCCCCACUGGUUUUUA